AUUGAACGCUGGCGGCAUGCUUUACACAUGCAAGUCGGACGGCAGCGGGGGUGCUUGCACCUGCCGGCGAGUGGCGAACGGGUGAGUAAUAUAUUGGAACGUACCGAGUAGUGGGGGAUAACUAAGCGAAAGUUUAGCUAAUACCGCAUACGACCUGAGGGUGAAAGCGGGGGACGGGAGACUGCCUCGCGCUAUUUGAGCGGCCAAUAACUGAUUAGCUAGUUGGUGGGGUAAAGGCCUACCAAGGCGAUGAUCAGUAGCGGGUCUGAGAGGAUGAUCCGCCACACUGGGACUGAGAGACGGCCCAGACUCCUACGGGAGGCAGCAGUGGGGAAUUUUGGACAAUGGGGGCAACCCUGAUCCAGCCAUGCCGCGUGUCUGAAGAAGGCCUUCGGGUUGUAAAGGACUUUUGUUAGGGAAGAAAAGGGAAGUGCUAAUAUCACUUUUUGCUGACGGUACCUAAAGAAUAAGCACCGGCUAACUACGUGCCAGCAGCCGCGGUAAUACGUAGGGUGCGAGCGUUAAUCGGAAUUACUGGGCGUAAAGCGAGCGCAGACGGUUAUUUAAGUCAGAUGUGAAAUCCCCGAGCUUAACUUGGGAACUGCGUUUGAAACUGGGUAACUAGAGUAUGUCAGAGGGGGGGUAGAAUUCCCCGUGUAGCACUGAAAUGCGUAGAGAUGUGGAGGAUCACCGAUGGGCGAAGGCAGCCCCCUGGGGAUAAUACUGACGUUCUGCUUGAAAGUAUGGGUAGCACAUACUAUUAAUAUCCUGGUAGUCCCAAGGGCGAAUUCCUCCUGGGUAUCAAGUCUUCUUUAUAUCCUCGACCCCGAGGGGGGCCC
rnacentral:rRNA from 1 species